GCCGAUAUAGCUCAAUAGGCAGAGCGUCCGACUUGUACUCGGAUGACACAGGUUCGACCCCUGUUGUCGGCU
rnacentral:tRNA from 1 species